UACGUAGGGUCCGAGCGUUGUCCGGAAUUAUUGGGCGUAAAGGGCUCGUAGGCGGUUUGUCGCGUCGGGAGUGAAAACACGGGGCUUAACCCCGUGCCUGCUUCCGAUACGGGCAGACUAGAGGUAUGCAGGGGAGAACGGAAUUCCUGGUGUAGCGGUGAAAUGCGCAGAUAUCAGGAGGAACACCGGUGGCGAAGGCGGUUCUCUGGGCAUUAACUGACGCUGAGGAGCGAAAGCGUGGGGAGCGAACAGG
rnacentral:rRNA from 1 species